GGAAGUUAUACGGAAGGCCUUAGCGUUGUUCGGAAUUACUGGGCGUAAAGCGCGCGUAAGCGGACUGGAAAGUUGGGGGUGAAAUCCCAGGGCUCAACCCUGGAACUGCCUCCAAAACUAUCAGUCUAGAGUUCGAGAGAGGUGAGUGGAAUUCCGAGUGUAGAGGUGAAAUUCGUAGAUAUUCGGAGGAACACCAGUGGCGAAGGCGGCUCACUGGCUCGAUACUGACGCUGAGGUGCGAAAGUGUGGGGAGCAAACAGGAUUAGAUACCCUGGUAGUCCACACCGUAAACGAUGAAUGCCAGUCGUCGGGUAGCAUGCUAUUCGGUGACACACCUAACGGAUUAAGCAUUCCGCCUGGGGAGUACGGUCGCAAGAUUAAAACUCAAAGGAAUUGACGGAAGG
rnacentral:rRNA from 1 species